rnacentral:lncRNA from 1 species
AAUUAUCAAAAAAUUGGGUAAAUAAAUAAUAGAAGUACAUAUCUCACGUAUGACAUUCGGAAACAAUCAUCUAGAACUUAAAUAGUAGUAAAAAAGAAAUAUUAAAAAUAAUUAAUCAUAAAUGAAAGAGACAGUUACAAAGGGAAGAGAACGGGAGACGAAAAAACAAUGCAAAAAAAAACAAAGAAUAAGGAAACAAGCAGGAACAAUUG